rnacentral:rRNA from 1 species
GUCGUGGGCGUAGGAAGUUUGAGAAGAUCUGUCCUCAGUACGAGAGGACCGGGAUGGACAUAUCAAUGGUGCACCAGUUGUCACGCCAGUGGCACAGCUGGGUAGCUAAAUAUGGAAGGGAUAAACGCUGAAGGCAUCUAAGUGUGAAACCCACUUCAAGAUGAGACUUCCCAUUACGCAAGUAAGUAAGACCCCUUAAAGACGAUAAGGUUGAUAGGUCAGGAGUGUAAGCAUGGCGACAUGUUCAGCGGACUGAUACUAAUAGGUCGAGGACUUAACCUA